ACGCUGGCGGCAGGCCUAACACAUGCAAGUCGAGCGGUAGAGAGAAGCUUGCUUCUCUUGAGAGCGGCGGACGGGUGAGUAAUGCCUAGGAAUCUGCCUGGUAGUGGGGGAUAACGUUCGGAAACGGACGCUAAUACCGCAUACGUCCUACGGGAGGAAGCAGGGGACCUUCGGGCCUUGCGCUAUCAGAUGAGCCUAGGUCGGAUUAGCUAGUUGGUGGGGUAAUGGCUCACCAAGGCGACGAUCCGUAACUGGUCUGAGAGGAUGAUCAGUCACACUGGAACUGAGACACGGUCCAGACUCCUACGGGAGGCAGCAGUGGGGAAUAUUGGACAAUGGGCGAAAGCCUGAUCCAGCCAUGCCGCGUGUGUGAAGAAGGUCUUCGGAUUGUAAAGCACUUUAAGUUGGGAGGAAGGGCAGUAAAUUAAUACUUUGCUGUUUUGACGUUACCGACAGAAUAAGCACCGGCUAACUCUGUGCCAGCAGCCGCGGUAAUACAGAGGGUGCAAGCGUUAAUCGGAAUUACUGGGCGUAAAGCGCGCGUAGGUGGUUCGUUAAGUUGGAUGUGAAAUCCCCGGGCUCAACCUGGGAACUGCAUUCAAAACUGACGAGCUAGAGUAUGGUAGAGGGUGGUGGAAUUUCCUGUGUAGCGGUGAAAUGCGUAGAUAUAGGAAGGAACACCAGUGGCGAAGGCGACCACCUGGACUGAUACUGACACUGAGGUGCGAAAGCGUGGGGAGCAAAC
rnacentral:rRNA from 1 species